rnacentral:rRNA from 1 species
GAUGAACGCUGGCGGCGUGCCUAAUACAUGCAAGUCGAGCGAACAGACGAGGAGCUUGCUCCUCUGACGUUAGCGGCGGACGGGUGAGUAACACGUGGAGAACCUACCUAUAAGACUGGGAUAACUUCGGGAAACCGGAGCUAAUACCGGAUAAUAUAUUGAACCGCAUGGUUCAAUAGUGAAAGACGGUUUUGCUGUCACUUAUAGAUGGAUCCGCGCCGCAUUAGCUAGUUGGUAAUGUAACGGCUUACCAAGGGAACGAUGCGUAGCCGACCUGAGAGAGUGGUCGGCCACACUGGAACUGAGACACGGUCCAGACUCCUACGGGAGGCAGCAGUAGGGAAUCUUCCGCAAUGGGCGAAAGCCUGACGGAGCAACGCCGCGUGAGUGAUGAAGGUCUUCGGAUCGUAAAACUCUGUUAUUAGGGAAGAACAAAUGUGUAAGUAACUAUGCACGUCUUGACGGUACCUAAUCAGAAAGCCACGGCUAACUACGUG